UUCGCCACCGUCAAUCCAUCUUAAAUAACCCCCCACCUCAUCUUCCCUUCCUCGCCAGUGCGGUCUUGUGUGUUUCUGUGUCGCGCACGGCACACGCGAGGAGACCUGCGCUCCUCGCUGUAGUAGUGCUGAACACGGCGCGAUGGUUUCUUUCCCUUCAUGUGGAUUUGGCAAAGGGUUUCUUACAGAGUUUAUUGGCAUUCUGUCCACCUCCUCCUCCUACAUCGAACGGGGAAAAAAGGACAAACGAUGGAGAAAGAGCCCCGUUGUUUUUAAAGGGGAAAAAGAGAAAUUCUCCCAUGUUUUCGCUUGUUUUGAAGGAGGUGGGCAUACUGCCAAGUGAGCUCUGUUGGCCUCUCUUUGUGAAAACCCUCGUGAUACAUAUAUCUCGUUUGUAUUGAUUUGUUCUUCCUAGGUUUUUGUUUUUGUUUUUUUUGGCCGGUACUUAAUACUCUGAUGGAAUCAAAGAUCGAGCGAUGAAAAGAGCUCCGAAGGGACGAUACGUCAAGGAUCAUCGCAGAAGUUCCGAGAAAAGCAGAAACUGUUCUUUCUGCUUGCGUGAAGUCACGAAGAUUUGAGCUCGCCGCAUUUACACCAUCAAUCACUGAUGAGCAUCUCUUUCAGUUGCUGGCUUGAGCAGAACUCGUUCUUAAUUGACGAUCUGGAAGGUUACUCCUGAUCUCUCUCUCUCGUCUUGUCAGAUGUUUACUAGGAGUAGGAUCAUGAUUGAGGGCUGACAAUCGUCACUAAGGUGGAAAGUGAAAACCUCCUUUGCCAAAAAAAAAAAUAGAAAGAAAAAGAAUUCAGUCAAACUUUUUGUAACAAAAAUUGGAAAAUUUUGCGAGACAGUCGGGUUUUUUUUUCGUUUUACAAAAUUUCGCCGUAUUACGAUGUGACUGCAGUAAUAACCUCAUAACAUUACUGCAGUCACAUCGUAAUUUUUGCAUCUCUGGUCUUUUACUUAGUACUAUCAUAUUUCUUGGAAAUGUAGAAAGAUAAACUUUUUUCGUUAAGAAAUUUUCUGCAAAACUCUAUCUGGAAAUACCCAGUUCAAUAUUUGUAAGGAUUUCUCAUAUUAGAUAUGGGUUUGAUUCGAGGAAAUAUUUGUUCUCCUUGGUGUAUCGGGUGUCAAAAUUGGUAAGUGCGUGGGCUAGUUUUUUUUCCAUUUUUUAUGAUUUCACCAUGUUUGUAUCUUCUAUGUUGAUACGAAACGAAUUUACUCUACACCUUAAAUGAAGUCAAAAUUGGUAAGUGCGUGGGCUUAGGGCAUACUUGUGAUGUUUUCAAAGCAAAAACAUCCUUUUACAUUCCUGUCAAAGUUCAAAAUAUUAUUCAAAUCUUUAAAAAGUUGCCAAAAAAAAUUGUAUGCGUAUUUUUGUGUUUAUGCUUAUGGAUGUUUAAGAUGAUUUUGGUUUAAAAGAGUAGUCAGGAUACAUAAAAUUUAAAUUCAGUGAAAAGUAGAAUAGUACUAAUCUGUUUAGAAACGCUCUUUUUACUUUUCGUGAAGAAUACUAACAUAUGCAUUUCAGGUGAUGGUGUCAUUGUAGAGUUGACCCGUACCGUAGGUUUGCACAAAUACGAUUGCUUCUGCUAUAUAUUUGCCUCAAGUUCAAUGUUCUGCCUCCGUUUUUUUGGGUCAAAGAAAGAUUGCUGAUCUUGAGAUGGAGAUUGUUUGUAAAUGCUUCAUUUUAGCUCUAACCGGUUUUAUAAGAGAAAGGAAAAAUGUUGCUGCUGAAGUCUUUCAGAAACUUUAUAGCAAAUGAUGCAUAGCGUGCAUCAUGCUUAUCAUCUACAAACCAUGUGAAGUGAAGGAGCAGUAAUAUGGAGUGGAAAGAUGUGGAUUUACACAUCGAGCUCAGUGACGAGAAUUUAGAGUAGAAGUUUGACAUAUGAAACAAGAAACUGGGGAGAAAGCGAGAGAAAAUCUGUAGUCUGGAUCACAUGUGUUCAUGAACGAACGUGAUUCCUUUCACAUGUGUUCAUGAACGAACACUAUUCCCUUCGAGACCACGUGUAAUGUUAUGCCCUUGUGUUCUCCUUUACAGUUGGGUUCAAGGAGACUGCAAUUUCCUCACGCGUGCGCCCGAAGUCUAAGGUCUACUUUGAAACCCUGUUAGGUCUUCUUUCUGGUCUCGUUCUACUGUUGUUCAGCGGCUGAGGGGGUCCCUCUUCCUCCUCACCAUGCAUUUUCACGCUUCAUAUCUGGCUCCCUCAAAAUGAUUUCGUAUUAUUCCUUUUGACUUAGAUGUCGUGGUUGAAUGCUAGUCAAACACGACUUUGCACUCCCAAGACUAAGAAAUCAUGCGCUCCCACUA